CGAACGGGUGAGUAACGCGUGGGGAAUCUGCCUUUGAGCGGGGGACAACAUUUGGAAACGAAUGCUAAUACCGCAUAAAAACUUUUAAACACAAGUUUUAAGUUUGAAAGAUGCAAUUGCAUCACUCAAAGAUGAUCCCGCGUUGUAUUAGCUAGUUGGUGAGGUAAAGGCUCACCAAGGCGAUGAUACAUAGCCGACCUGAGAGGGUGAUCGGCCACAUUGGGACUGAGACACGGCCCAAACUCCUACGGAAGGCAGCAG
rnacentral:rRNA from 1 species